rnacentral:rRNA from 1 species
UAGGGAAUCUUCGGCAAUGGACGAAAGUCUGACCGAGCAACGCCGCGUGAGUGAAGAAGGUUUUCGGAUCGUAAAACUCUGUUGUUAGAGAAGAACAAGGACGUUAGUAACUGAACGUCCCCUGACGGUAUCUAACCAGAAAGCCACGGCUAACUACGUGCCAGCAGCCGCGGUAAUACGUAGGUGGCAAGCGUUGUCCGGAUUUAUUGGGCGUAAAGCGAGCGCAGGCGGUUUCUUAAGUCUGAUGUGAAAGCCCCCGGCUCAACCGGGGAGGGUAAUUGGAAACUGGGAGACUUGAGUGCAGAAGAGGAGAGUGGAAUUCCAUGUGUAGCGGUGAAAUGCGUAGAUAUAUGGAGGAACACCGGUGGCGAAGGCGGCUCUCUGGUCUGUAACUGACGCUGAGGCUCGAAAGCGUGGGGAGCAAACAGG